GUGAAUUUAGCGCAUCUGCUUUGCAGAGCGUGACCUCCACUUUCUAACUCUGUGCACUUAAUGGCGGAAGAGAUGAAACAUGCUCUUCUGCGGCUCAUUUUAUAACACUAGUUAAAGAAUGUAACGAAAUAUCGAAACAAAAA
rnacentral:misc_RNA from 1 species